rnacentral:rRNA from 1 species
CAGUAGCCGCGGGAAUACGAAGGGUGCAAGCGUUACUCGGAAUUACUGGGCGUAAAGCGUGCGUAGGUGGUGGUUUAAGUCCGUUGUGAAAGCCCUGGGCUCAACCUGGGAAUUGCAGUGGAUACUGGAUCACUAGAGUGUGGUAGAGGAUAGUGGAAUUCCCGGUGUAGCAGUGAAAUGCGUAGAGAUCGGAAGGAACAUCUGUGGCGAAGGCGACUAUCUGGGCCAACACUGACACUGAGGCACGAAAGCGUGGGGAGCAAACAGGAUUAGAUACCCGAGUAGUCCCUGUCUCUUAUAC